UGGGGAAUAUUGGACAAUGGGCGCAAGCCUGAUCCAGCCAUGCCGCGUGAGUGAUGAAGGCCCUAGGGUUGUAAGCUCUUUCGGCGGGGAAGCGGUACCCGCAGAAGAAGCCCCGGCUAACUUCGUGCCAGCAGCCGCGGUAAUACGAAGGGGGCUAGCGUUGUUCGGAAUUACUGGGCGUAAAGCGCACGCAGGCGGAUUGUUAAGUCGAGGGUGAAAUCCUGGAGCUCAACUCCAGAACUGCCUCCGAUACUGGCAAUCUCGAGUCCGGAAGAGGUGAGUGGAAUUCCUAGUGUAGAGGUGGAAUUCGUAGAUAUUAGGAAGAACACCAGUGGCGAAGCGGCUCACUGGUCCGGACUGACGCUGAGGUGCGAAAGCGUGGGGAGCAAACAGGAUUAGAUACCCGUGUAGU
rnacentral:rRNA from 1 species